rnacentral:rRNA from 1 species
AGCGAACGCUGGCGGCAGGCCUAAUACAUGCAAGUCGAACGAACCUUUCGGGAUUUGUGGCCUACGGGUGAGUAACACGAGGGAUCGUUCCCUUAUGGUCGGAAUAACUCAAGGAAACUUUUGCUAAUACCGAAUGUGCGCUUCUGGGGAAAGAUUUAUUGCCUUUAGAGCGGCCGGCGUCUGAUUAGCUAGUUCUUUGAGGUAAUGGCUCACCAACGCGACAUUCACUAGCUGGUCUGAGAGAAUGAUCAGAGACAUUUGGAGUGAGACGCGGCCCACACUCCUACGGGAGGCAGCAGAGGGUGAUCUAGCGAAAUGGGCGGAAGCAUGACGGAGCCAUGCUGGGUGAAUGCUGAAGGUCUUAGGAUUGUAAUAUUCUUUCACCGAGGACGAUAAUGACGGUACCCGGAGAAGAAGCCCCGGCUAACUACGUG